rnacentral:rRNA from 1 species
GACGAACGCUGGCGGCGUGCUUAACACAUGCAAGUCGAACGGAAAGGCCUGCUUUCCCUUGUGGAUUGCGGGUACUCGAGUGGCGAACGGGUGAGUAACACGUGAGUGAUCUGCCCCCAACUUGGGUAUAAGCCUGGGAAACUGGGUCUAAUUCCCGAUAGGACUGCAGGGUGGUGCCUGUGGUGGAACACGAUUUUCUAGUGGUUGGGGAUGAGCUCGCGGCCUAUCAGCUUGUUGGUGGGGUAAUGGCCUACCAAGGCGGCGACGGGUAGCCGGCCUGGGAGGGUGGACGGACGCAUUGGGACUGAGAUACGGCCCAGACUCCGACGGGAGGCAGCAGUGGGGAAUAUUGCACAAUGGGCGGAAGCCUGAUGCAGCGACGCCGAGUGGGGGAUGACGGCCUUCGGGUUGUAAACUCCUUUCGACCGCGAGGAAGCCACCUGGUUGGAAGGGUGGUGACGGUAGUGGUAGAAGAAGCACCGGCUAACUACGUG